rnacentral:rRNA from 1 species
GAUGAACGCUGGCGGCGCGCCUAACACAUGCAAGUCGAACGGUUAAAGCACCUUUUAGGUGUGUAUAAAGAGGCGAACGGCUGAGUAACACCUGGGCAACCUGCCCUCCUCUUGGGGAUAGCCUCGGGAAACCGAGGAUAAUACCCGAUACUUCAAUGUGGCCGCAUGACGACAUUGAGAAAGCUUUUGCGGAGAAGGAUGGGCCCGCGGCCUGUUAGCUUGUUGGUGGGGUAGAGGCCUACCAAGGCAAUGAUGGGUAGCUGGGUUGAGAGACCGACCAGCCAGAUUGGGACUGAGACACGGCCCAGACUCCGACGGGGGGCAGCAGCGGGGAGACUUGCACAAUGGGCGAGAGCCUGAUGCAGCGACGCCGCGUGCGGGACGAAGGCCUUCGGCUUGUAAACCGCGUUCAGCAGGGACGAGGCGAUAAGUGACGGUACCUGCAGAAGAGGCCCCGGCUAACUACGUG